ensembl:lncRNA
UUUGAAUUUAAAAGUGUGCAGCUCGUCUCUGAUUGGAUAAUGACGUUAGGGCGGGAGGAGAAGCACGAGCUCCUCGUUCACGGCUUCAGCUGACGUCACCAACGAGCCAGUAGUAGCGCCGCCACGUCUGCAGAGUGGAGAACACAUCAGAAAUCUUCGGACUACCGGACUACUUUGUACUACUUUCGUUCAACUUCUUUUGGACAAAUCCACGAUUGGAAGAUCCGUGGCUAUUCAAUCGAUCCGGUGCUAUUGCAAAAAAGUUUGCAAGGACAGUCCUGCUAUUCCUCAACAAGGUACAUGCUGAGUCUGGAUCGGAACCUUGUCAACACAAACAUCUCCUCCUUCAUUUCUGCAUUGUGCCUCAUGUUCGGGAGCUACUACAUUUUCAACAUCCAUUAUCCAUCUGAGCUGGCUUCAACUCUGGAGUUCCUUCAAAGGUGUUUCUUCUCGAUAAACCCAGAAAAAGGAACCAAAGUAGAGAGUAAGAACAACAAGCGUCGUCUCAACCUGAACCCUCGAGUCCUCACCCUGAUACAGGAUCUCUCCAAUCACGAGUGGCGUCAAGCCUAAAUAUGAACUCUAUGUGGACUCUGACUGUUUGUUUGAGAAGAGGUACUUUUAGUUUUCGCUUUGUUAAUCCUAAAUGUGUAUUAUGGUAAUUAAGGCACACUGUGUAACUUUUCCUGGUAGAGGGUCCGCCACAUGCUUUUUUCAUUAUGUUAUUGCUUUGUAGUUAUGUUCCAGGUUGUUGUUUUUACGGUGUCUUACUGCUGUGUUUCUAGAUGGCUUGUUUAGGUUUGUUUCCUUACAGGUGGUUUUCCCCCGAUGUGUUCUAUGUCCCACGGGCACGGACGUGGUGACAUCCUAUACAGCAGGGUGCAUAUUGUAUGGGGACGAUUCCGAAACAUAAAUAUAUGUAGCUAUCUUCUCAAGUUAAUUCACACACACACACACACACACACACACACACACACACACACACACACACACACACACACACACACACACACACACACACACAGUCCCAGUGUGUUAGUCGGGCACUUCCAGUGCCAAAAAGCACUGAUAAUUUUUUGGAACAUUAGGCCACGUUUUAGAGGGAUUUAACUAAGCCUAAAUGUGGACUCUGUUUGUUGUGAGAAGAGGUACUGUUAGGUUUCGCUUUGUUAAAUCCACAAUUUUUAUUAUUAUUAAGGCAAAAUAUGUAAUUUCUGUUUUAAAGUCUUGCAAUAUGUACAGGUGCACUAUGUAAUUUUUAUCUGACACCUGCUUGUUUCCAUUUUGUAUAUGUUGGAAAAAAAAA